rnacentral:rRNA from 1 species
GGAAGGAGAAGUCGUAACAAGGUUUCCGUAGGUGAACCUGCGGAAGGAUCAUUGUCGAAUCCUGCAAAAGCAGACCGCGAACACGUUCAACCACAUCGGGAUCUUGGGUCGGGGGCAACCCCAACCCUCGCUCCCCCAUCUGCAGCGCGUGUGUCUCGGCAUGCGCGGUGCGGCUAACGAACCCCCGGCGCGGCAUGCGCCAAGGAAAACUCAUAGAAGCACCCGCCUCCCGUCGCACCGUUCGCGGUGCCCGGUGGGGGGAGUGGGUGUCUCUCCAAUGUCAUAACGACUCUCGGCAACGGAUAUCUCGGCUCUCGCAUCGAUGAAGAACGUAGCGAAAUGCGAUACUUGGUGUGAAUUGCAGAAUCCCGUGAACCAUCGAGUCUUUGAACGCAAGUUGCGCCCGAAGCCUUUCGGCCGAGGGCACGCCUGCCUGGGCGUCACGCAUCGCGUCGCCCCCCCUCCCCAUCAGUUCGGCAACGGGCGAUCGGGUGGCGGGGACGGAAAAUGGCCCCCCGUGUGCAGCGCCUCGCGGUCGGCCUAAAUGCGAACCCGUGGCGACUCACGUCACGACCAGUGGUGGUUGAACACUCAACUCUCGUGCUGUCGUGCCGGACUGAGUCGCACGUCGGGCAACGUGGUAGACCCAACGGAGCAACCUGAUUGCUCCUUCGACCGCGACCCCAGGUCAGGCGGGAUUACCCGCUGAGUUU